GAUUUAUCUGCCGAAAAUCAAGUAUGGCGAAAUCUGUGAAUGAUUCUCGCACUGGUGCUUUCUCCAACGGGUCCUAAACUUUACACUUUGGAUAGAGUGGAGCUGCUGCUGCGUACGGAGACUGGAUAGAAAUCACCACAUUCAUGAGGGUGUUUGUUCAGGUUGAAUUCAUGGGGGUGGAGAAGCAAGCCAACUGCAACCACCUGAAAGCUGUGUCGUCUAGAAUGAGCCCUUGAGACGCUCCCUCCUCCUCCUCCCUCAUCAUAUUCUCCCUGGCAGUGUUCAUCCAGCCGGACCGUCGAUGGUGUUCACCUUACACCCCCCAGAGGAGUACUGAGGCCGUCUUCCUCAUCCUCUUCAUCAGUCUUCUCAGGAAUGGUACCCCAACAAUUGAUUCCUACAGUCGCCUAGCUGUAAUAAUGACUUGCUGUGGGAGCUAUCAAAUGUCUGCAGCGGUGGAGUACAGUGGCUGGCUAGUCUCUGGACCAGGCGACUGGAAAGCGAAGUGUAAUCUUCAAAGAGGGGCUUAACCUCCGCCACCCAUCCCAGAGGAGUUGUCAUUCACCGGGGGCAAAGGCCAAGGAAAAUGCUCCAUGAUGUUAAUUGAUAUAAUUCAGUGGAGAGGUUUAACAAGCUGCUUCAAUAUUAUUGAAGUUAAGCAAGGAGGCGACUUCCGAAAUUGAACGUUUAGCCUUAUUUUGGUGCUAUUUUUUGGGGCAUAAUUACUUUUCUGGAUGCCUCACAUUUAGUUUCUUUAACAUGUAUCAAUCUAUUUGCUUGAGGGAUAAAAAAUAGCGUUCCCUCAUAUCUUGAGUCGAUGCAUUUCAACAUCACAAAAAUAUUUUGGUUCUCAUAUGUCCUCUGCUGUGGAAAAAAAAUCCUUAAUAGAAAGAUGCAUAUGAAGUCAUAAUACGAGUGGGACCACACUAAACAAAACCUCUGGGGGCCAUACUUGUGUCCUUUGGAGAACAAUGGAGCUGACUGUGGAGAUGAGAUUAUACUGCUUAGUAAUUGUCCCUCCCACAGUUUUCCAUAAUAUUCCAGUCAGCUAAUCUCUUUGGAGGAUAAAACAAGCAGGCAUAUUGUCUUUUUAAUGAAUUUAGCAAAAACUCAAAGCACUGCUUUGCCAAAAGGGAAGUUUACAAUUAAAAUCGCAGUGCAAUCAAAAGCAUGAUUUUCAUGUGUGUGUGUAUACACAGUUGAAGUCGGAAGUUUACAUUCACUUAGGUUGGAGUCAUUAAAACUUGUUUUUCAACCUCUCCACAAAUGUCUUGUUAACAAACUAUAGUUUUGGCAAGUCAG
rnacentral:lncRNA from 13 species